CUUGCAUCUUUGUGAAACAUCCUGUGCUGCAAGCAUGGCUGCAUAUGGUGAGGACUCAUCCCUGUCGGCUUUCACUUUCAUACCACAUGUAGAAUUAUUAGGUAAUUUGAUAUUCAAAUUAGAUAUCACAAAUAUCAUUCAAUUCUGGUCACAAGCAUGCCUUAAAUUCUCCAGUUGAAGCUCUAGCUUUCAACUACUCGACUAUGAUGCUUUAAUGGUGAUUAUCAGCAAUAUAGUAAUUAUCAACAUACUUAUAACGAGACAAAAAGGUGAUUAUCAACAAAAUAACAUUAUAUCUAUUUACUUGUUACGAGAGAUCAGUGAUCGUCAACAAUUUACUUAUAAUGAGACAACACUGAGUAUCAACAAUAUAUGGACAUGGGUUCCCCCAGUUUUCUUCUGUAGCCCAGAAGAAAUUCACCGUCAUCAGAGAGACUCUGACUGCUAUAACGGUUGUGAAAGUGGUAUGAUGGAGAUUAUUGACAUUCUACAACAUUUGCCAACUCAUAUGAAACCAAGAAGUAAACUCUAAACUCUGUGUUCAAUGGAAAAGACACCGCAUAUUAUUGGCACAAAUCAUGAAAUGUUGUAAAACACUAGAACAACGUGAAGAACCACCAGAACACAAGGAAUAGGGGGAUUGAACGACGCAAAUAAAUAUUUCAAUUUUUUUUUAUGGAACAAUAACGUUGAUCGAGGUACCUUUUAGAUGACAAUAUGUUUAUUGGGAGAUACUGAUAGACCACUUAAAUCAUUAGAAAUUUCCUAAUACACAAAUGAAGUCUCAAGAAACAUCAUUAAAAUAAACUAUAUGACACAAAUUUACUAUAUAUAUAGAGAGAGAGGAUGAAUUUGAUCUUUAAUAAACUAAAUACACAAUAAGAUUUUUUAACCAAAAUCCAAUGCAAAGAACUCACCUCAUGAAAGCAAACAACAGACUUUCCUCAGUGGUUUUCAAUACCUUCUUCACCACAUCCUCAGUAAUAAUUGCCUCACAAACAACAGACUUUCCUCGCCCUUCAAUUGACUGCAGCUGGUUUCUUAUCAGAAUAAAAAUUUCCU
rnacentral:lncRNA from 1 species